UACCCUAAAGUAACCUAUGACAACAAAAGCAGAAAGAGAACGAAAAAAAAGAAAAUAACGAUACGACCAAAUCCAAUGAGUUUGAUGGUCCGUCGACGAAAUUUGAGGGGAUUUUCGGAGGUGGUGGUAUUUUUCGAAACUUGCGCCGUCGAUGAUUAAUUUCGGUAUAGCGUAGCGGAAAAGAGAAGAGGGAGGUUUGCGCCAUGACUGGUUCUCUGUUUCUGAUCUCUUUUUAUUUUAUUUUUUACUUUUUUUUGUGUUGGUGCGUGUAUUUGUUAAUCUACUGUAAUCAUGGAAAAAUAUGAAGAAGAAAACUGUAUGAGUGAUUGUGAAACUCUGUAAAUAUAUUUACUACG
rnacentral:lncRNA from 1 species